CCUAUAUGGUGCCGGAAUCGCGGAUUGACUAUGAGUAAAAGUCUUGAAAUCACCUACGCCGUCCGGGUCCGAUUUUUCGAGAGGGUCAUCUUCAGCGGCAUUUUUAUAAUAAUAAAUGUUUUUAAAAUAAAGAAAAAUUUUUUUUUUGUGUGCUUAAUAAACGUAGUAAUAUGCCCGGAAAGUU